CAGCGUCCUGGCCGAGCGGCUCGGCAGCGCGCCGAUCGAACCGGCGCCGCGAGUCGAUCACGGCGAGCUGCCGAUGGUUCUCGGCGAUCCGACGCUGG
rnacentral:tRNA from 1 species